rnacentral:rRNA from 1 species
AUACAUGCAAGUCGAGGGGCAGCACGGUAGCAAUACUGGUGGCGACCGGCGCACGGGUGCGUAACGCGUAUGCAACCUACCCUUUACAGGGGGAUAGCCCGGAGAAAUCCGGAUUAAUACCCCAUAGUACCAUAGAUUGGCAUCUUUUUAUGGUUAAAGAUUCAUCGGUAAAGGAUGGGCAUGCGUCCGAUUAGUUAGUUGGUGAGGUAAUGGCUCACCAAGACUUUGAUCGGUAGGGGGUCUGAGAGGAUGAUCCCCCACACUGGUACUGAGAUACGGACCAGACUCCUACGGGAGGCAGCAGUAGGGAAUAUUGGUCAAUGGACGAGAGUCUGAACCAGCCAUGCCGCGUGCAGGAUGAAGGCCUUCUGGGUUGUAAACUGCUUUUGACGGGGAACAAAAAGGCCAUGCGUGGCAAAUUGAGUGUACCCGUAGAAUAAGCACCGGCUAACUCCGUGCCAGCAGCCGCGGUAAUACGGAGGGUGCAAGCGUUGUCCGGAUUUAUUGGGUUUAAAGGGUGCGUAGGCGGCCAUAUAAGUCAGUGGUGAAAUACGGCAGCUCAACUGCCGAACUGCCAUUGAUACUGUGUGGCUUGAGUACAGUCGAGGUAGGCGGAAUUGAUGGUGUAGCGGUGAAAUGCAUAGAUACCAUCAAGAACACCGAUUGCGAAGGCAGCUUACUAGGCUGUAACUGACGCUGAGGCACGAAAGCGUGGGGAUCAAACAGGAUUAGAUACCCUGGUAGUCCACGCCGUAAACGAUGAUUACUCGAUGUGUGCGAUAGACAGUACGCGUCCAAGCGAAAGCGUUAAGUAAUCCACCUGGGGAGUACGGUCGCAAGACUGAAACUCAAAGGAAUUGACGGGGGUCCGCACAAGCGGUAGAGCAUGUGGUUUAAUUCGAUGAUACGCGAGGAACCUUACCUAGGCUAGAAUGUUAGGGAAUAAUCCGGAGACGGAUUAGUCAGCAAUGACCCGAAACAAGGUGCUGCAUGGCUGUCGUCAGCUCGUGCC